GUGUGUGUGUGUGUGUGUGUGUGUGCGCGCGUGUGUCAGGACGACAGGUGAAAGGAAGGCUGCUGAUUUUAGCCUGGCCCAACAGUCAAUGAGGAUUGACAGAGCACAGCUGUUGGCCCCUUUAUAGACGCAUGUAUUGGGGGGUUCACAAAGGGGACUGGGAGGGCCGGCCGGGCGGCGUGGGGGACGGGGGUCUGGGUGGGGUUCACCCGAGGAUGCAAAGCUGUCAAUGAUGGCUGCAUUUGGACAAGAAGGAGGUCUAAAAAUAAGGAUUUUCUACCCUGCAAACGUUGAAGAAAGACCUGAAGCAACACCUUGCUGUGGCUGGUCAAACGGAACCAAGUCAGGUGUUUCUGUGAGGUUUGGUCCCCUUCAACCAGCUACUGCGUCGUGCAUUCAGUCAGCGGACGCCCGCCCACGUGCGUGGUCGUCAUAGUAACGAUGAUAACCGGAUAGUUGACGUGCCCAAAGUGGAGUAAUUCACUGUUUCCUGUGUGUGGCUGUGCACGCGAAAAGUCAAUAAAUUAAUAAAAUAACGGAA